rnacentral:rRNA from 1 species
GAUGAACGCUGGCGGCGUGCCUAAUACAUGCAAGUCGAGCGAACAGACGAGGAGCUUGCUCCUCUGACGUUAGCGGCGGACGGGUGAGUAACACGUGGAUCACCUACCUAUAAUACUGGGAUAACUUCGGGAAACCGGAGCUAAUACCGGAUAAUAUAUUGAACCGCAUGGUUCAAUAGUGAAAGACGGUUUUGCUGUCACUUAUAGAUGGAUCCGCGCCGCAUUAGCUAGUUGGUAAGGUACCGGCUUACCAAGGCAACGAUGCGUAGCCGACCUGAGAGGGUGAUCGGCCACACUGGAACUGAGACACGGUCCAGACUCCUACGGGAGGCAGCAGUAGGGAAUCUUCCGCAAUGGGCGAAAGCCUGACGGAGCAACGCCGCGUGAGUGAUGAAGGUCUUCGGAUCGUAAAACUCUGUUAUUAGGGAAGAACAAAUGUGUAAGUAACUAUGCACGUCUUGACGGUACCUAAUCAGAAAGCCACGGCUAACUACGUG